GGGAGUGUAGCUUAGUGGUAGAGCACUUGCCUAACAUGCAUGAGGCUCUGGGUUCCACUCCCAGUACCUCA
rnacentral:tRNA from 1 species